rnacentral:misc_RNA from 1 species
AAGUCGUAACAAGGUUUCCGUAGGUGAACCUGCGGAAGGAUCAUUACUAAUAUCAUCCACACACACACACUGUGCAACGAGAUGUUUGUGGCUUUGGUGAAGCGUCAUUGCUUUACGGGCCGCCCUUCUUACUGAACAAACACUAGCUAAAAGUCUUACACACAACCAAGAACCUAAACAACUUUUAACAAUGGAUCUCUUGGCUCCU